UACGUAGGGCGCAAGCGUUGUCCGGAAUUAUUGGGCGUAAAGAGCUCGUAGGCGGUCUGUCGCGUCCGUUUGUGAAAAACUUGGGGCUUAACCCUGAGCUUGCGGUCGAUACGGGCAUGACUGGAGUUCGGCAGGGGGAGAGUGGAAUUCCUGGUGUAGCGGUGAAAUGCGCAGAUAUCAGGAAGAACACCAAUGGCGAAGGCAGCUCUCGUGGGACGGUACUGACGCUGAGACGCGAAAGCGUGGGGAGCGAACAGG
rnacentral:rRNA from 1 species